rnacentral:rRNA from 1 species
GUGACAGCCGCCGCGGUAAGACGUAGGUGGCGAGCGUUAUCCGGAUUUACUGGGCGUAAAGCGCGUGCAGGUGGUUCGAUAAGUCGGGCGUGAAAUCUCCUGGCUCAACUGGGAUGAGUCUCCAGAUACCGGUGGGCUUGAGGGGAGCAGAGGAGAGCAGAAUUCCCGGUGUAGCGGUGAUAUGCGUAGAUAUCGGGAGGAAUACCAGUGGCGAAGGCGGCUCUCUGGGCUCUCCCUGACGCUCAGGCGCGAAAGCGUGGGGAGCAAACCGGAUUAGAUACCCCCGUAGUCC